rnacentral:rRNA from 1 species
AUUGAACGCUGGCGGCAGGCCUAACACAUGCAAGUCGAACGAGUGGCGGACGGGUGAGUAAUGUCUUGGAAACUGCCCGAUGGAGGGGGAUAACUACUGGAAACGGUAGCUAAUACCGCAUACCAUCGGAUGUGCCCUGACUGGAUUAGGUAGUAGGUGGGGUAACGGCACACCUAGGCGACGAUCCCUAGCUGGGCUGAGAGGAUGAACAGCCAAACUGGAACUGGGACACGGUCCAGACUCCUACGGGAGGCAGCAGUGGGGAAUAUUGCGCAAUGGGCGCAAGCCUGAUGCAGCCAUGCCGCGUGUAUGAAGAAGGCCUUCGGGUUGUAAAGUACUUUCAUCAAGGAGGCGUUACUCGCAGAAGAAGCACCGGCUAACUCCGUGCCAGCAGCCGCGGUAAUUC